ACUCGAGUGGCGAACGGGUGAGUAACACGUGGGUGAUCUGCCCUGCACUUCGGGAUAAGCUUGGGAAACUGGGUCUAAUACCGGAUAGGAGCCAUCUUUAGUGUGGUGGUUGGAAAGUUUUUUCGGUGUAGGAUGAGCUCGCGGCCUAUCAGCUUGUUGGUGGGGUAAUGGUCUACCAAGGCGGCGACGGGUAGCCGGCCUGAGAGGGUGUACGGCCACAUUGGGACUGAGAUACGGCCCAG
rnacentral:rRNA from 1 species